rnacentral:rRNA from 1 species
UACAGAGGGUGCGAGCGUUAAUCGGAAUUACUGGGCGUAAAGCGUGCGUAGACGGUUAUUUAAGUCGGAUGUGAAAGCCCCGGGCUCAACCUGGGAAUUGCAUUCGAGACUGAAUAGCUAGGGUACGGUAGAGGGAAGUGGAAUUCCAGGUGUAGCGGUGAAAUGCGUAGAUAUCUGGAGGAACACCGGUGGCGAAGGCAGGUCUCUGGGCUGACACUGACGCUCAUGCACGAAAGCGUGGGGAGCAAACAGG